UACGUAGGGUGCAAGCGUUACUCGGAAUUACUGGGCGUAAAGCGUGCGCAGGCGGUUUUGUAAGCCAGAUGUGAAAUCCCCGGGCUCAACCUGGGAAUGGCAUUUGGGACUGCAAGGCUUGAGUGCGGCAGAGGAGACUGGAAUUCCUGGUGUAGCAGUGAAAUGCGUAGAUAUCAGGAGGAAUACCGAUGGCGAAGGCAGGUCUCUGGGCUGACACUGACGCUCAUGCACGAAAGCGUGGGGAGCAAACAGG
rnacentral:rRNA from 1 species